ACAGACCCUCUGAUGUACCAACACUACAAGAGAUUCUUGGAAACUUUACAACUGGUUUCAUUCAACAUCCUAUAUGCUCCUCUCCAGCAGACAGCAAAGGUCUAAAAGUAAAUUUUUUUUUAAUAUGUCUCUCUCUCUCUCUCUCUCUUUCGUUCUUUAGUAAUUACACAUAUUUAAAAACGCGUGCAUUCAUGUGCAUCUUUAGUGCAUUGGAAUGAAAAGAAAGAUAUCAUUAGUUGAUGAUUUGAUUGACUAAGUAACAAAUGAGGCAGCAACUGAAUGUAUCACAGUCCAUGCAAUUAUAACUCCUAAUGCUGUCAAACUGAAAUUACAUCAGUAAGAAAUACUGUUUACCUGUCGUGUCAUCCAUGCGGUGUGGGCGUGACUUCACUUGGCUUCUCAGUCGCCCUCUCCUGGAUAAAACUUCAGAUGGUUAACUAGAUGCAGCUGG